rnacentral:rRNA from 1 species
AUGGAACUAGCAAGUACAGAGUUACCACUGGCAGCUCUAGAAGGCACGAGUUUUACUUUCUUGAACCAGUAUAUUUAUCAUGGAAACUUAUCAUACACUGUACCCUUUUAUAACUUACAUCAAAGAAGUUUCACUAUCUGCCCAACACUACCAAAUCAUGCAAUUGCAAUCUUUGGCAAUGCAUUGGAAGCUCUGAAAGAACAUUGCACACAUCAACUUUUAGAAAUUACAAUGAAAAAACAGUAUAAUCACUGGAGCCUUCUGAAAUCUGAAGCAGGUGCUCUUCCAUUUCUGGAUCCUCUGUUCAACAGAUAG